rnacentral:tRNA from 1 species
GGCCGCUUCGCCGACGGGGAGCAGCAGCUCGCCGCGGGCGAGUACGGCCCGGCCCGGCCGGGUGGGGCGUUCUGGAUGCUCAAUGGCCUC